GAUGAACGCUAGCUACAGGCUUAACACAUGCAAGUCGAGGGGUAACGAGAGGAAAGCUUGCUUUCCUUGUUGACGACCGGCGCACGGGUGAGUAACGCGUAUCCAACCUGCCCCCAACUAGGGAAUAACCUUGCGAAAGUAAGACUAAUACCCUAUAAUUUCCUCAGAUGUCAUCUGACGAGGAAUAAAGAUUUAUCGGUUGUGGAUGGGGAUGCGUCUGAUUAGCUUUUUGGCGGGGUAACGGACCACCAAGGCAACGAUCAGUAGGGGUUCUGAGAGGAAGAUCCCCCACAGUUGAACUAUGACACGGUACAAACUCCUACGGGAGGCAGCAUGGAGGAAUAUUGGUCAAUGGGCGAAAGCCUGAACCAGCCAAGUAGCGUGCAGGAUGAAGGCCCUAUGGGUUGUAAACUGCUUUUAUACGGGAAUAAAGUUAGCCACGUGUGGUUAUUUGUAGGUACUGUAUGAAUAAGGACCGGCUAAUUCCGUGCCAGCCGCCGCAGUAA
rnacentral:rRNA from 1 species